rnacentral:rRNA from 1 species
UACGGAGGAUGCAAGCGUUAUCCGGAAUGAUUGGGCGUAAAGCGUCCGCAGGUGGCAAUGUAAGUCUGCUGUUAAAGAGUGAGGCUCGACCUCAUAAGAGCAGUGGAAACUACAUAGCUAGAGUGCGUUCGGGGCAAAGGGAAUUCCUGGUGUAGCGGUGAAAUGCGUAGAGAUCCGGAGGAACACCAGUGGCGAAGGCGACACGCUGGGCCAUACCUGACGCUAAAGCGCGACAGCAUGGGGAGCAAACGGG